rnacentral:rRNA from 1 species
AUUGAACGCUAGCGGGAUGCUUUACACAUGCAAGUCGAACGGCAGCGCGGACUUCGGUCUGGCGGCGAGUGGCGAACGGGUGAGUAAUGUAUCGGAACGUGCCCAGUAGCGGGGGAUAACUACGCGAAAGCGUAGCUAAUCCCGCAUCCGCCCUACGGGGGAAACCAGGGGAUCGUAAGACCUUGCACUAUUGGAGCGGCCGAUAUCGGAUUAGCUAGUUGGUGAGGUAACGGCUCACCAAGGCGACGAUCCGUAGCUGGUUUGAGAGGACGACCAGCCACACUGGGACUGAGACACGGCCCAGACUCCUACGGGAGGCAGCAGUGGGGAAUUUUGGACAAUGGGGGCAACCCUGAUCCAGCCAUCCCGCGUGUGCGAUGAAGGCCUUCGGGUUGUAAAGCACUGUUGGCAGGAAAGAAACGUCGCGGGCUAAUACCCCGUGGAACUGACGGUACCUGCAGAAUAAGCACCGGCUAACUACGUG